GCUGGUGUAGCUCAGGGUAGAGCAACGCACUCGUAAUGCGUAGGCCGGGGGUUCAAUUCCCUUCACCAGCA
rnacentral:tRNA from 1 species